rnacentral:rRNA from 1 species
AGUGAACGCUGGCGGUAGGCCUAACACAUGCAAGUCGAACGGCAGCACAGUAAGAGCUUGCUCUUACGGGUGGCGAGUGGCGGACGGGUGAGGAAUACAUCGGAAUCUACUUUUUCGUGGGGGAUAACGUAGGGAAACUUACGCUAAUACCGCAUACGACCUGCGGGUGAAAGCAGGGGAUCUUCGGACCUUGCGCGAUUGAAUGAGCCGAUGUCGGAUUAGCUAGUUGGCGGGGUAAAGGCCCACCAAGGCGACGAUCCGUAGCUGGUCUGAGAGGAUGAUCAGCCACACUGGAACUGAGACACAGUCCAGACUCCUACGGGAGGCAGCAGUGGGGAAUAUUGGACAAUGGGCGCAAGCCUGAUCCAGCCAUACCGCGUGGGUGAAGAAGGCCUUCGGGUUGUAAAGCCCUUUUGUUGGGAAAGAAAAGCAGCAGGUUAAUACCCCGCUGUUCUGACGGUACCCAAAGAAUAAGCACCGGCUAACUUCGUG